rnacentral:rRNA from 1 species
CCUACGGGGGGCUGCAGUGAGGAAUAUUGGUCAAUGGACGAGAGUCUGAACCAGCCAAGUAGCGUGAAGGAUGACUGCCCUAUGGGUUGUAAACUUCUUUUAUAUGGGAAUAAAAUGUUCCACGUGUGGGAUUUUGUAUGUACCAUAUGAAUAAGGAUCGGCUAACUCCGUGCCAGCAGCCGCGGUAAUACGGAGGAUCCGAGCGUUAUCCGGAUUUAUUGGGUUUAAAGGGAGCGUAGGUGGAUUGUUAAGUCAGUUGUGAAAGUUUGCGGCUCAACCGUAAAAUUGCAGUUGAAACUGGCAGUCUUGAGUACAGUAGAGGUGGGCGGAAUUCGUGGUGUAGCGGUGAAAUGCUUAGAUAUCGCGAAGAACUCCGAUUGCGAAGGCAGUUCACUGGACUGCAACUGACACUGAGGCUCGAAAGUGUGGGUAUCAAACAGGAUUAGAUACCCGUGUAGUC